GACGAACGCUGGCGGCGUGCUUAACACAUGCAAGUCGAACGCUGAAGCUUGGUGCUUGCACUGGGUGGAUGAGUGGCGAACGUGUGAGUAAUACGUGAGUAACCUGCCCUUGACUCUGGGAUAAGCCUGGGAACCUGGGUCUCAUACUGGAUACGACAUGUCACCGCAUGGUGGUGUGUGGAAAGGGUUUUACUGGUUUUGGAUGGGCUCACGGCCUAUCAGCUUGUUGGUGGGGUAAUGGCUCACCAAGGCGACGACGGGUAGCCGGCCUGAGAGGGUGACCGGCCACACUGGGACUGAGACACGGCCCAGACUCCUACGGGAGGCAGCAGUGGGGAAUAUUGCACAAUGGGCGAAAGCCUGAUGCAGCGACGCCGCGUGAGGGAUGACGGCCUUCGGGUUGUAAACCUCUUUCAGCACGGAAGAAGCGAAAGUGACGGUACGUGCAGAAGAAGCGCCGGCUAACUACGUG
rnacentral:rRNA from 1 species